GCGAGCUAGUUUCGUAAUCGACGUAACGAUUCGUGGAAGAAACUUAUAAGUAAGUAUAUAUCUAGACUGCGAAAAGGUGGAAGAGAAGAAGAAAGAGGGAGGGUAAGUGGGAGGGAGGGAGGGAAGGAAGGAAGGAAGGAAGGAAAAAGGGUGGAGGAUCCAACGAGAGUAACCCACCUCGUUUCAUUGAAAGUUUUAUCUUUACCAAGUUUUGCAAGUAGAAUGCGGAUUGUUCGAGAGUUAUUUAUAUCCCGUCCGCUUUAUCGUGCUUUAUAGACCUUUAGAAGACGGUACCGUUAAAUUAUUCCUUGCAUAUCGUGAAAAAACGAACGACAGAUUUAACGAGAAAAGAAAAAAAAAAAAAGAAGAAAGAAAGAAAAAGAAGAACAAAAAGAAAGAAAAAAAAAAUAAGAAACGACAACGACGGGAAACACACAAAUAGACAGGCACACAGGAGACAGACGAACGCGUUGAUAUUCGACGUGACAGUAGAACGUUGAAGAUUCCUCCCCCUCCCCGCCCCUAUAAACAAAAUGAUCGUGAAUGAAGUGAUUUGAAAAAAUAAAAUUAUAUAAGAGAUUGGCAAGCGUAGAUGCACGGUUCUAUGAUUAGAAAAAAGAAAAGAAAGAAAAAAGGAAGAAAAAACCAACAAACGAACAA